CAUUCGAGUAACAACUCAUUUCUAAAGUGUUCUUCCGAAAACCUUUUAAUUAAAUCUUCCCGGUUAUUUAAUAGAAGUGUCCGCCCUUUUACUUCCGCUUCGUUCCCGUACAUAUUAUUUGGCGACGAGGAAAAAGGUUCAGUGCGCGUGUGCGAAAUAGUGCUGCUACCGGUAUGAAAUUAAGUGACGGACAAAUCAAACUAGAGUCGUACCGUCGGUGGCAGCAGGAAAAUUUUUAGCAACAACAGCAAAUGCGGGACAGCGGUCAGGACAUACGGAGACGUUCCGGAGAAGAAUAGAAGGUUGAAAAGAGCUUGAAAAAGCCCGAAAAGCUAGUGAAAACACGUUGUAGUGCUCGAAAACACCAUUUUGUGGUGUAUGAUAUUGGCGAGGAUAGUGGUUUCUUUGAUUGAAACAAUUAACAACAAUACACAGAAAAAAAAGUUGUGAAAAGGACUUUUUUCACAUGGUUUAAUAAUUAUCUUUUCUUUUAAUUGUGUUUAGCCAGCGAUAAUUAUGCUAAAUUAAAAAUACACUUAUUGUUUUAUUUAUUUUAACAGAGAGUUGGAACGACAAAAGAAAAGUUUUUUUUUUGAAUCUAAUGAAUUUGUGAUUAAUAAGUGGUUCUCUUUAUAUUCCAUACAGAUAGCGGCGAUUGCCGGCGGACAGGUUUUUUCCCCUUGAGAAUAAAAGUCCGCGGAAGAUACCGGAGCACAAUUUUUAGGUUUGAUAUUUAUUGGAUUGCGACUACAGUUGGAAGACGAAUGACUACUACAGCGCGCCGAAGCCAAAUCAAAGUCGUUGACGAUACGGGCAUUCGGAGGCGUUGGACGAAGGUGGUGUAUGUCGAUCACAAUGUCGAUAAUUCCGGUCCAUCACCACCACCACGCAAUAUAAUCGGCGAGGUGCUUUAUGAGAUGCCUUUCCAGAGAUCUCCGGAGUGUGACUUGCGAAGACGAAACGACGAGUUACCGCCGGGGAAGCCAAAUCGAAAACGAAAGAUGAAUACUAAUUUGGCGCUCGAUGGCCUGCCGUGGCGUUCGAAGAGAACGCGAAGAAAUAGAAGUAAAUUUCAAUUUUCUUUAUUCGAAUUGUUAAUAAUUUGUUAAUAGUAACUAUCGAUUUGUAAAUGAUAAUAAUACCAUCGAAUAACUUCCGAAGAGGGAAGGACUGAUAUGUAUCCUAAAUUGGAGUAAACCAAUUUGAGCGUGUAUGCGCUAUAAACUAUUUUUAUAGUUAUCGAUAUGCCAAAGAAGACAUAAAAUAAACAGACCGAUGACUGUCGGUCUCUUUCGUGAUUCAGAA